rnacentral:misc_RNA from 1 species
GUUAUUUCAAACAUUAAUCCAAGUUCCAUCCAAAAGAAAACAAGUGUGUGUGUGUAUUUGUGUCAUUGACAAGUUUUAAAUAUAAGUCGUUUCAGACUGAUUCAGCCAAUUCUGUACUCUGUUUCUGAUUCCAUUAUUUAAACCCUAACUGCUAAAAGCAUAAAAAGAAAUUCAGAGUCAGCAACCAAUUCAGUUUGUUUCAAACCAAUUCAGUCCAUUGCAUUACACUGUUUCCAAUUCCAAAACUGAUUCUGAUUCCAUUACUUAAAACCCUAGUGUGUGUUUGUGAAAUAAAAA